UAAUUUUAUUGGUCUUCAGAGCAAUGUCAAAUAUGUAACAGAAGCAUCGAUACAGAUUUUUCAUUGGUGCUCAGUUCGGUUCGGUUGUUGGUUGACUACAUUAUGUAGGUGUGAAAAAUCUUCGUUGAUAAAGUGGAUCUCAUUUGCCUUGGAGCAAAAUCUAAAUUUGGAUGAUGUAUGCAGUUAAUGAGACACGUCAUCCCAUGAUGAAUGUGAUGAAAUCAAACUACAUUUCCCGUGAAACAUUCCAGCAUUUCGAUUAUAUUCCAGAGUUUCGCAAUGAUUACUCCGUUGACAACACAUAUGUUAAAUCGAUGAGAGAUAAAUGCAACAACGUAGAGAUAUCCCCCGUGACUGUUAUCAUAAGAUCAGCAGUAGAGAAUGCCGGAGUAACCAUGCCAAACGAUAAAAGGCGCGUUUCACGUCAAUUUCUAACAUGUUUAAAUAACGGACAAUUGCAAGUUAUUGUUAACGAUUUACAGAGAUAUAUCGGUUUGUUGAAUGAUGAGUUGGUUCAACUACUUAUGAAACGUGAUGAGCUACAAAUGAGUCAGGAUGCAACGUUGAUUGACAUAGAAGAUUUAUCGUUAUAUUUUUGAGAAGUGAAGCGUUACGGUGAAACCAAAGGCACUGGAUUACAAACCCAGACGAAAUGUUAGAAUUAGAGCAUGAAAUUUAUUGUCGCCCAGAUUGAUUCAAUUGAGCAAAAAGCUUAAUAAAACAAUAGAUAUUAUGCCUUUGUACGAUAUUGUCUAUGCAAAAAAUGUUUAGAUUAUGAGCUUAUUUAUUGGGUUACAUUUUCAGAGAACAUUAGGCCAUUUUGGGUAUCAUCUUCGGUACUCUUCAAGGAUAAUCCCUUAAAGUUCUACUGAACUUUUCGCGAAAAAUACAAAAUAUAGAAGAACCACCUUAAUAUUAUCGCCCAAUCAAACAUUAGUGUGAACGCGCUAUAGCGACAGCAUAGCAGAGUAACCCAUGCAAACACGUAAUUUAUGUAAAAAAAGAGACUGCUUAUUUUUCAGUACCUAUAUUAUUAUAUUAAAGUUCCCUGUAGCACAAUGAAGACUAAUUUGUUCGCAGCAACUUCAAUAUGACAAGAUUGAAAGUUGUAAGAGUUACAGAAACACAACAGUCACAAGCGCAUUGUUCGGGAAAGAAACAUCUUAAACCUCUUCAGAUUACGCUAUUUAUAAUAUGAUAAAGAGUAACUCGAUCCCAAUUUUCUUUCUCCACUUUAAUAUGUAAUAAAGCUCGUAAUCUAGGCUAUUGGGAAUAGCUAAUGAAAAAGAAUAAAAGUGAGCAUAAGGCUCAUCUUCGAUGUAGAAAUGACCACAUGUUUCUUUUUUAAACUUUCUUGGGUGGCACGCUAAGCAAACAAGCAACCCUCUGCUUACUUCAAAUCUUCUAUACAGUUUUAUACCUUAUGAUGAUUUUAGUGCUAUUCUUGCAACGAUUACUGUACUUUUUAACACUUAGUGAGAUGAUCUAUUUGGACAUGGCCAUUCUUUCCAUCACCAGCGUCUA